UGCCAGCAGCCGCGGUAAGACGGAGGGUGCUAGCGUUGUUCGGAAUGACUGGGCGUAAAGGGCGCGUAGGCGGUUUUGUUAGUCAGGCGUGAAAGCCCCGGGCUCAACCCGGGAACUGCGUUUGAUACUGCAAGACUUGAGGACGGAAGAGGAAAGUGGAAUUCCUAGUGUAGGGGUGAAAUCCGUAGAUAUUCGGAGGAACACCAGUGGCGAAGGCGGCUUUCUGGACCGAUACUGACGCUGAGACGCGAAAGCGUGGGGAGCAAACAGGAUUAGAUA
rnacentral:rRNA from 1 species